rnacentral:rRNA from 1 species
CUUAACGGCCGCGGCACCAAAACCGUGCAAAGGUAGCACAAUCACUUGUCCCUUAAAUGAGGACUCGUAUGAAAGGCAACACGAGAGAAAACCUGUCUCCUAAGAUUAGCCAAUGAAAUUGAACUGCCAGUACAAAAGCUGGCAUACCAAAGCAAGACAAAAAGACCCUGUGGAACUUAAAUAGCCUGUUUACAAAAACUAAACAAUAAUUUUAGUUGGGACAACUUUAGAAAAAACUAACCUCUAACACCCCCCAGACCAACAAGUCUAAGGCAUGAAGCCGACCCAGUCACACUGAUUAAUGAAAUAAGCUACCCCAGGGAUAACAGCGCCACCUUCUCAAAAAGUCCUUAUUAACAAGAAGAUCUACGACCUCGAUGUUGGAUCGGGGUACCCCGACGGUGCAACCGCUGUCAAAGGUUCGUUUGUUCAACGACUAACACCC